rnacentral:rRNA from 1 species
UACGUAGGGAGCAAGCGUUGUUCGGAUUUACUGGGCGUAAAGGGUGUGUAGGCGGUUGUUUAAGUUUGGUGUGAAAUCUCCCGGCUCAACUGGGAGGGUGCGCCGAAUACUGAAUGACUUGGAGUGCGGGAGAGGAAAGUGGAAUUCCUGGUGUAGCGGUGAAAUGCGUAGAUAUCAGGAGGAACACCGGUGGUGUAGACGGCUUUCUGGACCGUAACUGACGCUGAGACACGAAAGCGUGGGUAGCAAACAGG